UUAAAUUGAAGAGUUUGAUCAUGGCUCAGAUUGAACGCUGGCGGCAGGCCUAACACAUGCAAGUCGAACGGUAACAGAAAG
rnacentral:rRNA from 2 species